UACGGGGGGGGCAAGCGUUGUUCGGAAUUACUGGGCGUAAAGGGCUCGUAGGCGGCCAACUAAGUCAGACGUGAAAUCCCUCGGCUUAACCGGGGAACUGCGUCUGAUACUGGAUGGCUUGAGUUUGGGAGAGGGAUGCGGAAUUCCGGGUGGAGUGGUGAAAUGCGUAGAGAUCCGGAGGAACACCGAAGGCGAAGGCAGUGUCCUGGCGAGUGACUGACGCUGAGGUGCGAAAGCCAGGGGAGCGAACGGG
rnacentral:rRNA from 1 species